UGCUGGGUGGAUCAGUGGCGAACGGGUGAGUAACACGUGAGCAACCUGCCCUCCACUUCGGGAUAAGCCUUGGAAACGGGGUCUAAUACCGGAUAUGAGCACAUGGCGCAUGUCGUGUGUUGGAAAGUUUUUCGGUGGGGGAUGGGCUCGCGGCCUAUCAGCUUGUUGGUGGGGUGAUGGCCUACCAAGGCGUCGACGGGUAGCCGGCCUGAGAGGGCGACCGGCCACACUGGGACUGAGACACGGCCCAGACUCCUACGGGAGGCAGCAGUGGGGAAUAUUGCACAAUGGGCGAAAGCCUGAUGCAGCGACGCCGCGUGAGGGAUGACGGCCUUCGGGUUGUAAACCUCUUUCAGCAGGGAAGAAGGCCUUCGGGUGGACGGUACCUGCAGAAGAAGCGCCGGCUAACUACGUGCCAGCAGCCGCGGUAAUACGUAGGGCGCAAGCGUUGUCCGGAAUUAUUGGGCGUAAAGAGCUCGUAGGCGGUUCUGUCGCGUCUGGUGUGAAAACCUCAGGCUCAACCUGGGGCGUGCAUCGGGUACGGGCAGACUAGAGUGCGGUAGGGGAGACUGGAAUUCCUGGUGUAGCGGUGGAAUGCGCAGAUAUCAGGAGGAACACCGAUGGCGAAGGCAGGUCUCUGGGCCGCAACUGACGCUGAGGAGCGAAAGCAUGGGGAGCGAACAGGAUUAGAUACCCUGGUAGUCCAUGCCGUAAACGUUGGGCACUAGGUGUGGGGCUCAUUCCACGAGUUCCGUGCCGCAGCUAACGCAUUAAGUGCCCCGCCUGGGGAGUACGGCCGCAAGGCUAAAACUCAAAGGAAUUGACGGGGGGCCCGCACAAGCGGCGGAGCAUGCGGAUUAAUUCCGAUGCAACGCGAAGAACCUUACCAAAGGCUUUGACAUGCACCGGACGCUGCCAGAAGAUGGUGGUUCCGCAAGGUCGGUGCACAGGGUGGGUGCAUGGUUGUCCGUCAGCUCCGUGUCCGUGGAGAUGUUGGGUUAAAG
rnacentral:rRNA from 1 species